UACGGGGGGGGGCAAGCGUUGUUCGGAAUUACUGGGCGUAAAGGGCUCGUAGGUGGCCAACUAAGUCAGACGUGAAAUCCCUCAGCUUAACUGGGGAACUGCGUCUGAUACUGGAUGGCUUGAGUUUGGGAGAGGGAUGCGGAAUUCCAGGUGUAGCGGUGAAAAUGCGUAGAUAUCUGGAGGAACACCGGUGGCGAAGGCGGCAUCCUGGACCAAAUCUGACGCUGAGGAGCGAAAGCCAGGGGAGCAA
rnacentral:rRNA from 1 species